UGUGAAAAAAAAAAAAGUGUAAGUCUCCGUUGGUGAACCAGCGGAGGAAUCAUUACGAGGUUUCAACUCUCCAAACCCCCUGUGACAUACCUAUUGUUGCUCCGCGAUCCACCCCCUCCUGUUAAACCGGGCGGCCCGCCAGAGACCCAACCUCUAGUCCUAAGUGAUACCUCCGAGUAAACACAACGAAUAAUCCAAACCUUUCAACACCGAUCCUCUGAUUCUGGCAUCGAUGAAGACGCAGCAAAUGCGAUAAGUAAUGGAAUGCAGAAUCAGUGAUCAUCGAUCUUGAACGCACAUUGGCCGCCAGUAUCUGCGGCAUGCCUGUCGAGCGUCAUUUCAACCCUCAAACCCCGGGUUUGGUGUGGGGAUCGGCGAGCGUCUGCCUGGCAGACAGCCGGCCCCGAAAUCUAGUGGCGGUCUCGCUGUAGCCCUCAAUGCGUAGUAGCUAACACCUCGCAACUGGGACAGCGAGCGCGGCCAAGCACGUUAAACCCCAACUUCUGAAUGUGCGCUCUGAUCAGGUAGGAAUACCCGCUGACUAG
rnacentral:rRNA from 1 species